rnacentral:misc_RNA from 1 species
CUGUGGCAGAGAUACUGCGGCAACUCGCUGGUAAAAUCAUUGGUCGAAACAUCAAAAUCUUCCAAAUCGGAAUACCUGCCAAGAUUCGCAGGUAAUUUCCCAGUAAAGCUGUUGUUGAAGAGUUUUAAUUCAGAUAGAUUUGGAUUCAAAGCCAAAACCUCAGGGAUUUCUCCGUUGAAGUGGUUGUCGUUUAAAUUUAGUGAUUGGAGUGGCAAUGCGGAGAUAUUUUCCAGCAAGUUUCCGGUGAGAUUGUUCUGUGAGACAUCAAAUUGACGCAAAGUAGUUAAAUUUGACAGACUUUCAGGUAACUCACCGUACAGUUGAUUGUUGAAGAGCUCUAUUUGUUGUAUCCUUUUCAAUUCAGAAAUACUCUCAGGUAUCUUGCCAGUGAUUAAAUUGCUUGACAAAUCCAGAUUGUAUAACGAGCCAAGCUUCCCAAUCGAGCCUGGAAUUUCCGCGAUGAGAUUCGUGCC